CCUACGGGAGGCAGCAGUAGGGAAUAUUGCUCAAUGGGGGAAACCCUGAAGCAGCAACGCCGCGUGGAGGAUGAAGGUUUUCGGAUUGUAAACUCCUUUUGUCAGAGAAGAUAAUGACGGUAUCUAACGAAUAAGCACCGGCUAACUCCGUGCCAGCAGCCGCGGUAAUACGGAGGGUGCAAGCGUUACUCGGAAUCACUGGGCGUAAAGAGCGUGUAGGCGGGAUAGCAAGUCAGAUGUGAAAUCCUAUGGCUUAACCAUAGAACUGCAUUUGAAACUGUUAUUCUAGAGUAUGGGAGAGGUAGGUGGAAUUCUUGGUGUAGGGGUAAAAUCCGUAGAGAUCAAGAGGAAUACUCGUGGCGAAGGCGACCUGCUGGAACAUAACUGACGCUGAUGCGCGAAAGCGUGGGGAGCAAACAGGAUUAGAUACCCGGGUAGUC
rnacentral:rRNA from 1 species